AGAAUAUUAGCAUCUAUGAUCAAUUUCUAUUGGUUGAUAGAUGAUAAUAAGUUAAAUUUAAGUUGGCAGCAUUUUACUGAAAAACAAUCAUGGAAGUAGGCGUAACAAUUUGUUCUUUUCUUUAUCCUCAUUUGAUUUGGCUAUAGACAGCUUCAUUUGAAUUGGCUGAGAGUAAUGCUCCACUAUGAAUCCUAAAGAAAGGAGAUUUCAGUUACUGAAUAAGAUCAAGUGCUUAAUAACUUUCAGAUUAAUAAAACCUAACCAUGCUCUAAUAGUUUGAUCAUAUUCAUUGUUUAUUUUAUUUGAUUAUGUCUUAGAUUAGGUUGUUUCAUACCUUCACAACAUGACACAAGAAAUCCUGGACAAGAGAAUGAACAUUUGGGAAUAGUACUGUCUUCGACAUUGUUUUGCUGUACCUGAGGGCUUUGUGCUGCGAAAAGCUGUAGGUUUUCCACCUAAAAGGAGCUAAUUUAUGCAUGCAAUGGUUGGGAAGAAAUCUUCAGAGCUUCAUAGAGAGAUCUAAGCUCUGGAAAAGCAUGCUUCCUGUAACAACAGUUAUGAUGCAUCCAUUGCUGACGCACUGCAGUUGUAUGAGUAGAACUGGGCACAUGAGAUGUUUCAAGCUCUUUCUGCAAGCCUUGAUGAUAUUUUAGGAAUAGUAACUGUCUUGAAGGAACACAUAGUAGUUAACUUUUGUAAAUCUAUGCUUUAUUGGAAGGAUGGGUGCUACUUGAAAGCAAGUCUUGACUCAUCAAGAUGACAAGUGGUGUGCAUCAGUAUUGUUAGAAUUUCUUCACUUGUGAUUUUCAUAUCUUUACAUAGCUACAAGUGGUUUAUUGAUGUAUUUAUUAGUGAUUGCUUGUAACCAUUUGGAGGUUACCAAACUAUCAAUUAAGCUGAACACAUUGGCUGCAAUUAUAUAUAGUCUUUAUCACCAUGUCAUAACCGGUAGAGGCUAUUCAUAAGCUUAUGUUACCAUUUAUUGAGUUUGAUUGCACAACUGAUUAGUUAGUUCAUGGACUUUAAUCAAAUUUCGUUUAUAUUCAUACAUACAUAUAUGUGAUUGAUUUGUUGUAAUAUGUAUAUUAUCA